GCGAGCGUGGCGGAAUUGGCAGACGCGCCAGGUUUAGGUCCUGGUACCCAAAAGGUAUGGAGGUUCGACUCCUCUCGCUCGCA
rnacentral:tRNA from 1 species